UAUUGAUGUGUUGGAGUAGUUGAUGUCUCAUUAGUAUAUGCAGUUCUUGAUUUAAACUUCAAUUUUCUGCUUUAAGCAAUAAAGCAUGUAGUAUCUUCAUCUUUGUCCAUCUUAUCAGUGAACACAUCACACACACACAUCAUCUUUAUAGCAGGUUAGGACUAUCUGAUUGUAUGUCAUUAUGCCUUUAGCUUAGUUUGAUGCUUUUGUUCUUGGAUCUUGAUAUUUCUAAGAGGCAUAUCUUAUUAGAAUUCAUAACAUAGCUGGAAAUCUGGGGAUUCAUUGUCAUAGUAGCGUAGCUUGCAUAUCAUGUAGAUUGCAUUAUAUUGUGUUGCUUGCGGACAAGCAACACUUUAAGUUUGGGGGUAUUUGAUAAGUGGAUUUUAUAUACACUUAUCCGGUAUCUUUUACUUGAAUUAGUUGCUUAUAUUUAUGUGUCUUAGUUACUUUUCAUGCAUUUUGUGUUCAUUUUGUAGGUUAUACGUUUUGGAGCGGUGUGAGCGACUAUUGGUAAGGAAAAACAAGGAAAAUGCAAAGAAAAUCUAUACGGACAUCAUUUGGGCUUUCAUGUUUACUUCAUGUUCUUGGUUUAGAACUUAGCUUACAUUUUAGAGCGUCUUCGUAGCUUUCCGGAACAUCUUGAAUCGUUCUAAUCGGAGUUCAGAUGCAAGAGUUAUGAUCUUUGUACCAACGGACGUCAAACUUUGCUGUUUUAGAUGACCAUUUGCAUAGCGGUCACUUACAAUCUCAUUUCAGCCUUCAUCCGUGCACUAUUUCUCAGUACUCAAAGAAUUAAAGUUGUAGAGCUCGUUGAUAUCUUCGAUUUGAUAGGUGGAAGGCCCCGUAACUCUUCCCGGAUCAAACGUUAUGAGCAUUUUACCAG
rnacentral:lncRNA from 1 species